CAGUCGCCGCGGGAAUACAGAGGGUGCGAGCGUUAAUCGGAUUUACUGGGCGUAAAGCGUGCGUAGGCGGCUUCUUAAGUCGGAUGUGAAAUCCCUGAGCUUAACUUAGGAAUUGCAUUCGAUACUGGGAAGCUAGAGUAUGGGAGAGGAUGGUAGAAUUCCAGGUGUAGCGGUGAAAUGCGUAGAGAUCUGGAGGAAUACCGAUGGCGAAGGCAGCCAUCUGGCCUAAUACUGACGCUGAGGUACGAAAGCAUGGGGAGCAAACAGGAUUAGAUACCCGUGUAGUCCCUGUCUAUUAUAA
rnacentral:rRNA from 1 species